CUCGCUGCUCUGCACAGCCCCUGCUCGCUCAGUGCUGCGAAGGGGAGCAGCCACCACCACCACGUGGAGUCUUUCUUGGCCAACUUUCACACCCAAAUUUUGGGGUUUUUGUUUCCCUAGACAAGGGGGAGGUCUGGAAGAGGGAGGCCCAUGGAAAGCCUGUGUUUGCUGGGCAGAGCUGUCAGUGUUGUCAGGGUUCUGGGCAAAAGGGUGAGUUUGGCACCAGGGGGUUGGAACUGUUGUGCUAUGUUGAGUUCUUACCUUUGAUGAGUGGUUGGAUAACAGGGUGAUCAAGUAAGAGUGAAAAUGCCGUGGUGUUCAUCAGUGGCUCUCUGUGGGUGCACAGCUUCACACAUAUUUUAACUCUGAGAUGCUGAAAGGCAGGAUUUCCAAGCUCAAAAUUAAAUUUCAGUGUCAGAGGCUGGAGCUGACCUUACCAAACCACGUUUCCCUUCUUCCUGUCCAUGCAAGUGAGAAAUAUGCACGUCUCACAAAUGUGUUUAUCAGCCAGGUUCAUGUUCUUUACUUUUCUGUUUUAUUCUUUGAGCACAGUGUGUCAGCACAGCCUUGCAAAGGGGAAACGUUAAGAUUUAUAUUUUUUAUAGAUAUCUAUAGAUAGGCUUAUAUGUCUCCCUGGCCUGAAAAGCAAAGCAAACAUGACCAACUUACUGUUUUACUCUACAAGGCAGCCCUGCAAAGGUUAUCACUCCAUCCCAUCUCUGACAUAAUACAUUUUCUACUUGUGCAGAGGCAGAUCUGUGGCUCACACCAGCCAGCAGGACCAGGGUGUCACUGCCUUCAGUCCAAUGGCACAAGGAGGAGGAGGUGCUAUGGAAACACUCAAGUAUCAGGGAGCUGCUGGUGUCAGGCACCUGCCCUGCACAGGCAGCCCGUGCCCGUCCUCCAGCCCCGCUCGCCCUGCCCGGGCUGCACAGAGCCCGCGUGCCCUGCCUCGGUGGCACCUGCUGCUGGCUCUGGCACAUUAAAUCUGCAGGUAACAUCACUUCGCUUCCUUCUCUCUUGCUGGCUCUGGACUGCUGAGCAGGGUCCUGCUGUGCCUGGGGGGAGGCAGAGGAGGCUUUGAGCGUGGUUUCUGCAGGGCAGCGAGGUCCCUGCGAGGCAGGAGUAGGGUAGGUCGUGAUCUCUGAGUUUCUGUUCAGUUUCUGUUCUUACUCCAAGGUAUUCCCGGGGUACUUUACCUGGAAUAUCACAGCAACGGAGAACUGGAAGUCAAUUCAUCCCAACAUGGGAAACAAGUGAUUCUAACAAAUUUGUUUUGUCUAAGAGGACC
rnacentral:lncRNA from 1 species